AGAGUUUGAUCAUGGCUCAGGACGAACGCUGGCGGCGUGCUUAACACAUGCAAGUCGAACGAAGCUUGAUUACGGAUUCUUCGGAUGAAGUAUGAUAUGACUGAGUGGCGGACGGGUGAGUAACGCGUGAGUAACCUGCCCUUCAGAGGGGGAUAGCGUUUGGAAACGAACGGUAAUACCGCAUAAUGUAUUUUGACCGCAUGAUCGAAAUACCAAAGAUUUAUCGCUGAAGGAUGGACUCGCGUCUGAUUAGGUAGUUGGUGGGGUAACGGCCUACCAAGCCGACGAUCAGUAGCCUGACUGAGAGGUUGAUCGGCCACAUUGGGACUGAGACACGGCCCAGACUCCUACGGGAGGCAGCAGUGGGGAAUAUUGCACAAUGGGCGCAAGCCUGAUGCAGCAACGCCGCGUGAAGGAAGACGGUUUUCGGAUUGUAAACUUCUGUUCUUAGUGAAGAAUAAUGACGGUAGCUAAGGAGCAAGCCACGGCUAACUACGUGCCAGCAGCCGCGGUAAUACGUAGGUGGCAAGCGUUGUCCGGAAUUACUGGGUGUAAAGGGAGCGCAGGCGGGUGAUCAAGUCAGCUGUGAAAACUACGGGCUUAACCCGUAGACUGCAGUUGAAACUGUUCAUCUUGAGUGAAGUAGAGGUUGGCGGAAUUCCGAGUGUAGCGGUGAAAUGCGUAGAUAUUCGGAGGAACACCGGUGGCGAAGGCGGCCAACUGGGCUUUAACUGACGCUGAGGCUCGAAAGUGUGGGGAGCAAACAGGAUUAGAUACCCUGGUAGUCCACACUGUAAACGAUGAUUGCUAGGUGUGGGGGGUCUGACCCCUUCCGUGCCGGAGCUAACGCAAUAAGCAAUCCACCUGGGGAGUACGACCGCAAGGUUGAAACUCAAAGGAAUUGACGGGGACCCGCACAAGCAGUGGAUUAUGUGGUUUGAUUCGAGGCAACGCGAGGAACCUUACCAGGUCUUGACAUCGAGUGACGUAUCCAGAGAUGGAUAUUUCCUUCGGGACACAAAGACAGGUGGUGCAUGGUUGUCGUCAGCUCGUGUCGUGAGAUGUUGGGUUAAGUCCCGCAACGAGCGCAACCCUUAUCAUUAGUUGCUACGCAAGAGCACUCUAAUGAGACUGCCGUUGACAAAACGGAGGAAGGUGGGGAUGACGUCAAAUCAUCAUGCCCCUUAUGACCUGGGCUACACACGUACUACAAUGGCGAUCGAACAGAGGGAAGCAAGACAGCGAUGUGGAGCCAAUCCCAAAAAAUCGCCCCAGUUCAGAUUGCAGGCUGCAACUCGCCUGCAUGAAGUCGGAAUUGCUAGUAAUCGCAGAUCAGCAUGCUGCGGUGAAUACGUUCCCGGGCCUUGUACACACCGCCCGUCACACCAUGGGAGUCGGUAACACCCAAAGCCGGUCGUCUAACCUUCGGGAGGACGCCGUCUAAGGUGGGAUUGAUGACUGGGGUGAAGUCGUAACAAGGUAA
rnacentral:rRNA from 1 species